rnacentral:rRNA from 1 species
UUCAACUUGAGAGUUUGAUCCUGGCUCAGAGCGAACGCUGGCGGCAGGCUUAACACAUGCAAGUCGAGCGGGCAUCCUUGUGGUGUCAGCGGCAGACGGGUGAGUAACGC